AUUGAACGCUGGCGGCAGGCCUAACACAUGCAAGUCGAGCGAGCUGCGGAAGGGUGAGUCAUGUCUGGGAAACUGCCUGAUGGCUGGGGAUAACUACUGGAAACGGUAGAUAAUACCGCAUAACCUCAGAUGUGCGCAGAUGGGAUGAGCUAGCAGGUGGGGUAAUGGCUCACCUAGGCGACGAUCCCUAGCUGGUCUGAGAGGAUGACCAGCCAAACUGGAACUGAGACACGGUCCAGACUCCUACGGGAGGCAGCAGUGGGGAAUAUUGCACAAUGGGCGCAAGCCUGAUGCAGCCAUGCCGCGUGUGUGAAGAAGGCCUUCGGGUUGUAAAGCACUUUAAGCGAGGAGGCGUUACUCGCAGAAGAAGCACCGGCUAACUCCGUGCCAGCAGCCGCGGUAAUAC
rnacentral:rRNA from 1 species